rnacentral:lncRNA from 1 species
GAUAAAUCUUAAGGGGGUACUAGGAUAAAAUUCAAAGAGACAAAAUAAAUUUGAAAGAAACGACGGGAGUUGAAUUUACAAAAAAAUUCAUUCACUUCAACAACUCUAUAGCAACUGUUUUCUCUUCUCCUUUCUCUUUUUAUUUGUUUUUUUUUCUUUUUCGGAAGGAGUAUGUUUUGACAUGUAUUGAAACCCUUCUAUUUUUUUUCUUUUCUUUUUUUGUCAACUUCUGAAAUAUUCCAAACAUAAUUAUUCAAUCCUACAUAACUCCAAACAAGACUCUUUCAACCCUUUGAAUAGGGUCAUAACAUUGUUUUUUACUUUUUGGCUUGUAAUGAGUUUAAAUAAAAAAAGGGAUAAUGGGAUCAAGAUAGUUUCAAACAAGGGAUGAUAUUAUUUUAGGAUUGGCUUUUUGGCUAACUAGCUAAAAAAAAUUGUCUUUAUCAUAUCAGUGUGCACAAGUAAACAACAUCAUCAACAAGAAUCAAUUCAAGUUCUAGAGACUAACAGACAAGAAUGAAUCAUACAAGAAAUAAAGAGAUGAUUUUUUUUUAUGUUAUCCAUAUAAGUCUCAAAGCUCACAAGGGCUAAUGAUCUACUGUUAAAGAUGUACAAUUUAGAGUUUAGUCUUACCUAUCAUACUAAAAAUGCACAUCAAAUUUUUUACAUCACACCACAAGACUUUAGUCAAGAGAACUAAGAAAAAUACUCAUAAUUGUAACUCAAAAACCAAAGGAAAAAUUAUACAUUUUUUUUCUUAUUUAAGAAAUCAAACAAAAACCAAAAACAGAGAAAAACUAAAAACAAAAUAAAGAAAACAAAACAAA